rnacentral:tRNA from 1 species
GCCACCGUAGCUCAACCGGUAGAGCAACUGAUUCGUAAUCAGUAGGUUGGCGGUUCGAGUCCGCCCGGUGGCUCCA